CUAUGAAGGUGGUAAUACCGCGCUCCUGGAGCCCGUCAUGAAGAUGCCCAGUGAAACCCUUUCGGGUGUCUUCGCUUCUGAAGCUGAGAAACACUUCAAACUCAGAUCCAUCAACUCUUGGUGAAGAUGGUGAAGAAAUCCUUGAUUCGCUGAAGGAAGACAUGACCAAAGAGAACGGUGAUGAAGAGUACUAUGAAUAAAGCUGCAAAGAUCACCAUUUUCCCGAUCUUAGCUUGGAGAACCAAGAAAGAAGAUGGUAAAAUUAGGCAAUCUUUUCGUGGUCAGCAACACCGCCUCCACACAGAAUAUUAAUAACUAUCACAACAGUAGACACACAAAACGAUCACUCCUCCUCACCCAACAAGCAGGAACAAGGCAGGAGAUCGACAAGAGAUGACAAGUGAUAUCGAGGAAGCUUCUGGCUGAGCUUCUUUCGGUGGAACAAGGGAUCUUAAUUAAUGGCGGAAGACCCCAUUGCAUUACACCCUUUUUACCCUGUUUUUGAUUAAUUAUCCGUUGCCUAGUCAACAGUUGAAACUUUCUUGUAAAUGAAAUUUCUUGGUAGUUUUCUAGUUGAAUGUUCAUCCAUUUUCCUAUGCAUAAAAUCAUUUUCGCUUGAACUGAUCCAUUUUUUGUUUGCAGGAAGAGUAAUAUACUGUUGGACACAUUCAUUGUUUA